rnacentral:rRNA from 1 species
UGAGGAAUAUUGGACAAUGGAUGGAAAUCUGAUCCAGCCAUGCCGCGUGCAGGAAGAAUGUCCUAUGGAUUGUAAACUGCUUUUGUAUGGGAGCAAUAAGGUCUUCGUGAAGGCCGAUGAGAGUACCAUACGAAUAAGCACCGGCUAACUCCGUGCCAGCAGCCGCGGUAAUACGGAGGAUGCGAGCGUUAUCCGGAUUCAUUGGGUUUAAAGGGUGCGUAGGCGGACUAUUAAGUCAGUGGUGAAAUCCUGCAGCUUAACUGCAGAACUGCCAUUGAUACUGAUAGCCUUGAGUUUGGUUAAGGUAGCGGAAUGUGUAAUGUAGCGGUGAAAUGCUUAGAUAUUACACAGAACACCAAUUGCGUAGGCAGCUUACUGAGCCGACACUGACGCUGAGGC